GCGCCCGUAGCUCAGUGGACAGAGCGGCGGACUUCUAACCCGCGGGUCGCAGGUUCGAAUCCUGCCGGGCGCA
rnacentral:tRNA from 1 species